ACAUACUUACAAAUUUAUAUAAUAUUGUACUGUAAUCUUUACUCGUUAAUAGAUCAUGAACUACUGAGCAAUUUCUAAACAUAUUAACAGAAUGUGUUAUCAUUUCAACCUUAGUAUGGAAUAGUUUUUCUUCGUUACACACUAAACCUCAUAAGAUUUUUAAUUAUUUUCAACGAACCGCAUAUUCUGAGCUCAUAAUGUUUUGAUAUUAAACGUUACAGACGAAAAACUUUGCACGCGUCAUUAAGAAAUUAAAGAUAACACAUCUGGGUUAUCUUUUUGACGAGGAGUAUAUAUACUUAUUAUU